GGGCCAGUGGCACAACAGAUAAUGUUCCUGACUAUGAAUCUAGAGAUUGCAGGUUUCGCUCCUGCCUGGCUUG
rnacentral:tRNA from 1 species